AGUGAUCCGGUGGUUCUGAAUGGAAGGGCCAUCGCUCAACGGAUAAAAGGUACUCCGGGGAUAACAGGCUGAUACCGCCCAAGAGUUCAUAUCGACGGCGGUGUUUGGCACCUCGAUGUCGGCUCAUCACAUCCUGGGGCUGAAGUAGGUCCCAAGGGUAUGGCUGUUCGCCAUUUAAAGUGGUACGCGAGCUGGGUUUAGAACGUCGUGAGACAGUUCGGUCCCUAUCUGCCGUGGGCGCUGGAGAACUGAGGGGGGCUGCUCCUAGUACGAGAGGACCGGAGUGGACGCAUCACUGGUGUUCGGGUUGUCAUGCCAAUGGCACUGCCCGGUAGCUAAAUGCGGAAGAGAUAAGUGCUGAAAGCAUCUAAGCACGAAACUUGCCCCG
rnacentral:rRNA from 1 species